UACGUAGGGACCAAGCGUUGUCCGGAAUCAUUGGGCGUAAAGAGCGUGUAGGCGGCUUGUUAAGUCUUGUGUGAAAUCUCGGGGCUCAACCCCGAGCGGUCAUGAGAAACUGGCAGGCUAGAGUGCGGGAGAGGAGAGUGGAAUUCCUGGUGUAGCGGUGAAAUGCGCAGAUAUCAGGAAGAACACCCGUGGCGAAGGCGGCUCUCUGGAACGCAACUGACGCUGAGACG
rnacentral:rRNA from 1 species